rnacentral:lncRNA from 1 species
UGAUCUCUUUUUUUCCUCAUGACUUUGGGAGGUGAGUGCUAUAAUGAAUUACCUUUAUUUUACAGGUGAGGAAACCAAGGCAGAGGUUGUGACUUCCCCAGUAAAUGCUGGUGACCUUCCAUUGGAACCCAUCACUCUCUUCUUUUUCGGAAAUUCUUUCAGUGGCUUCUCCCCACUUGUCCUCAAGCUCUCCUUCAGUUGUCCAGGAUUUUUCAGUCUAGGAAUUUCUAGAGCACAAAGUUUUAUUUUGACCUUGGCAGAAGGAAAGGGAAGGAAGAAAGAAGAAUAUGAUGCACCUCUCAGUUUAUACAGUUCUUUCCUCACAACAAUCUGGUAAAUGCCUGCUUCAGCUACCUUCUUGGCUGUUGGGACAAAUUGUUCUCAUCCAUCUGUUCAUCUGGACAAGGUCUUCAAAUACUUGAGGUAGUUAUGCUCACCAGUUCAUUGAUUGGUUUGCAGACUGUCAGUUACCCACAACCUGGCUUAGCCCAUCUGCCAACAUGGAUUUACUAGGAUGUGACUGCUGUGCAUGCUGCAUCUUCUUGGAGUCACCGGUGAGAGUUGGGUGAAAGGCAAACACUAAAAGGUGGCUGAGCAGCUCUGCAAGGGGGACUAGUCCUUCAAGAACACCUCAUAUUUCUCAGCAACAAGAUAUCCAGAGCUUGGUGCAUUGUAAACAGUUAAUAAAUGCUUAUUGAUUAACUGAUGGAUGUGUCA